rnacentral:rRNA from 1 species
AUUGAACGCUAGCGGGAUGCUUUACACAUGCAAGUCGAACGGCAGCGCGGACUUCGGUCUGGCGGCGAGUGGCGAACGGGUGAGUAAUGUAUCGGAACGUUCCCAUUAGCGGGGGAUAACUACGCGAAAUCGUAGCUAAUACCGCAUACGCCCUACGGGGGAAAGCAGGGGAUCGUAAGACCUUGCACUAUUGGAGCGGCCGAUAUCGGAUUAGCUAGUUGGUUAGGUAACGGCUCACCAAGGCGACGAUCCGUAGCUGGUUUGAGAGGACGACCAGCCACACUGGAACUGAGACACGGCCCAGACUCCUACGGGAGGCAGCAGUGGGGAAUUUUGGACAAUGGGGGCAACCCUGAUCCAGCCAUCCCGCGUGUGCGAUGAAGGCCUUCGGGUUGUAAAGCACUUUUGGCAGGAAAGAAACGUAGCGGGCUAAUACCCCGUGGAACUGACGGUACCUGAAGAAUAAGCACCGGCUAACUACGUG